rnacentral:misc_RNA from 1 species
GAACGCACAUUGCGCCCUGUGGUAUUCCGCAGGGCAUGCCUGUUCGAGCGUCAUUUAACCUCCUCAAGCUCUGCUUGGUGUUGGGCGUUUGUCCCGCCUUUGGGCAUGGACUCGCCUCAAAAAUAUUGGCAGUCACCUCCCUGGCUUCGAGCGCAGCACAUUUGCGCCCGGUUCUUAGGGUAGUGAUUUUCCAGAAGCCCUUUUUUCGGUUGACCUCGGAUCAGGUAGGGAUACCCGCUGAACUUAA